rnacentral:tRNA from 1 species
GGCCCCAUGGUCAAGUGGUUAAGACAGCGGCCUCUCACGCCGUUAACGUGGGUUCGAAUCCCGCUGGGGUCACCA